GUUCUCACUUCAGCAGCACAUAUACUAAAAGUGGAAAAAUACAGAGGAGACUAGCACGGCCUACGUGCAAGGAUGUAAUGCAAAUCUGUGAAGUGUUACAUUUUUUA
ensembl:snRNA U6 U6 spliceosomal RNA